rnacentral:piRNA from 1 species
UGGAGAAAUAAAUGACCAAUCCCA